CUUCAGCGAGCCGAGCCACAGGGGGUUGCCGGCGGGGCGGCCCUGGCCGUAGGUCGCCAGCAGUGCCUGUGCCUC
rnacentral:antisense_RNA from 3 species